rnacentral:rRNA from 1 species
UACGGAGGAGGCAAGCGUUAUCCGGAAUUAUUGGGCGUAAAGCGUCCGCAGGUGGCACCUCAAGUCUGCUGUCAAAGACCGGGGCUUAACCCCAGAAAGGCAGUGGAAACUGAAGUGCUAGAGUGCAGUAGGGGUAGAGGGAAUUCCCGGUGUAGCGGUGAAAUGCGUAGAGAUCAGGAAGAACAUCGGUGGCGAAGGCGCUCUGCUGGACCAUAACUGACACUCAGGGACGAAAGCUAGGGGAGCGAAUGGG